rnacentral:rRNA from 1 species
UGCAGAAUCCCGUGAACCAUCGAGUCUUUGAACGCAAGUUGCGCCCGAGGGACUCUCCCGAGGGCACGCCUGCCUCAUGGGCGUUAGAAGCCCAUCCACGCUCGGUUGCCUCACGGCAGAGAUGCGGACAUUGGCCCUCCGAACCGCGAGGUGCGGUGGGCCUAAGUGUGCGGCCGUCGUACGUGGCCGGGAGCGGCGAGUGGUGGGCUACUGCGCACGUCGCCCCGAGCUCCGUACCGACACAAGGCCUUGUUCGACCCCCUAACGAGGAGCAUGCCGUCGCGGCCUGCGCCGCGCGGCGUCUUCGGACCGAUACCCCAGGUCAGGCGGGGCUACCCGCCGAGUUUAAGCAUAUAAAUAAGCGGAGGAGAAGAAACUUACAAGGAUUCCCCUAGUAACGGCGAGCGAACCGGGAGCAGCCCAGCCUUAGAAUCGCGGCGGCACUGNCGCCCGA